UUUCGGGGUUAGUAGGUCGGUCAUGCCUCUGGUAUGUACUGGUCUCACUGAUUCCUCCUUCCUGAUGAACCGUAAUGCCAUUAAUUGGUGUUGCGGGAAUUUGGACUGUUACUUGAAAAAAUUAGAGUGUUUAAAGCAGGCUAACGCUUGAAUACAUUAGCAUGGAAUAAUGAAAUAGGACGUUCGAUCUUAUUUGUUGGUUUCUAAGAUUGACGUAAUGAUUAAUAGGGAUAGUUGGGGGCAUUAGUAUUCAAUUGUCAGAGGUGAAAUUCUUGGAUUUAUUGAAGACUAACUACUGCGAAAGCAUUUGCCAAGGAUGUUUUCAUUAAUCAAGAACGAAAGUUAGGGGAUCGAAGACGAUCAGAUACCGUCGUAGUCUUAACCAUAAACUAUGCCGACUAGGGAUCGGAUGAUGUUAAUUUUUUAAUGACUCAUUCGGCGCCUUACG
rnacentral:rRNA from 1 species